rnacentral:rRNA from 1 species
CAGUCGCCGCGGUAAUACAGAGGGUGCGAGCGUUAAUCGGAUUUACUGGGCGUAAAGCGUGCGUAGGCGGCUUCUUAAGUCGGAUGUGAAAUCCCUGAGCUUAACUUGGGAAUUGCAUUCGAUACUGGUUAGCUAGAGUGUGGGAGAGGAUGGUAGAAUUCCAGGUGUAGCGGUGAAAUGCGUAGAGAUCUGGAGGAAUACCGAUGGCGAAGGCAGCCAUCUGGCCUAACACUGACGCUGAGGUACGAAAGCAUGGGGAGCAAACAGGAUUAGAUACCCCAGUAGUCCCUGUCUCUUAUAA